rnacentral:rRNA from 1 species
UACGGACUAGCCAAUGAAAUUGAUCCUUCAGUACAAAAGCUGAAAUUAACCCAUAAGACGAGAAGACCCUGUGGAGCUUCAAAACCAAAACCACCAAACAUUGCUUCCUUGGUUUUUUAGUUUGGGGCGACUUUGGAGCAAAAAAAACCCUCCAAAACAUAAAUCCAUUUAUUAAGACUAACACAUCAAAAAUAAUAUCAUAGACCCAGCAGUACCUAUUUACUGCCUGACCAAUGAACCAAGUUACCCCAGGGAUAACAGCGCCAUCCUCUUCUAGAGUCCCUAUCGACAAGAGGGUUUACGACCUCGAUGUUGG